GGCCCCUUGGCCAAGCGGUUAAGACACCGCCCUUUCACGGCGGUAACACGGGUUCGAAUCCCGUAGGGGUCA
rnacentral:tRNA from 1 species